GACAGAGGGUGCAAACGUUGUUCGGAAUUACUGGGCGUAAAGCGCGUGUAGGCGGCUCUGCAAGUCGGAUGUGAAAGCCCUGGGCUCAACCUAGGAAGUGCACUCGAAACUGCAGAGCUUGAGUCUCGGAGAGGAUCGCGGAAUUCUCGGUGUAGAGGUGAAAUUCGUAGAUAUCGAGAGGAACACCGGUGGCGAAGGCGGCGAUCUGGACGAUGACUGACGCUGAGACGCGAAAGCCAGGGGAGCAAACGGG
rnacentral:rRNA from 1 species